rnacentral:lncRNA from 1 species
UCCCCUUUAUCUCGCCUUCCCCUCAUCCUUCCUGGUCCUCCUUUCCUUUCUUCUCUCCUUAGCCACCUUUCUCCACUCCUCCCCAUCCCCCAGACUCCUUCUCCCCGUCCCCACGUUUCACACCCACCAGAAAUAAUGCUUCCUUCCUUCCUUUCUUAUUUUUGACGAGCAUUUUUAAUUUUCGGAGAGGGAAAAGAGCCGGGGAGAGCCGGUGGCAGACAGAGAUAAUCCCCCCCUUCUUUAAAGAACGGAUCUGAAUUAAUGCUCGUUCGGUGCUGCGCGUAUGACGGGAAGAGGGGGAUUAUAUUUAGGGAAGAAAAGAAAGGGUCAAAGGCGUCAGAGAUCUCCUCCUGCCUUUUAUCCUGGUGCGUCCCCAUCGUGUGCGGCCACCGCCGCGCUCCUCACGCCCGAGGGUCGGGGAGGGGGUGGUGGUCGCCGGCCUCCCUCUGCUCCAUCCCUGCCCUCUAGGCCUGUCGAAGCCCCGCCGGCUCCGUUGGGUGACCUGCAGCUCCUGUCGGAGGAAAGUUUGCUGGGUGUAAGAGGCGGCUUUGUCUGUCCGUGGAGCGGGCUUUGGGUGAUGCUUGGUGGAUUUUGGCGACGAGGCGGUGGUCCCUCGAAGCGUUGGGAGGCUGAUGAAGUGGAAGAAGUUUUGCUUGGAGGCGGCGGUGGGGAGCAGCGAGGCUCUGUCCCUGCUGACAGAUCUUGUUUGUGCUGUGGCAGUGCCUGGGGAAGUAACUUCAACAUAUUUCAUCCCGAGGAGUGCGUAGCAUGCACCUGCUCCUCUGUGGGGCAAAAGGCUGGACGUGCUCCCUCGUGCCGGGCCGGCAGCGUGAUGCCAGCUUGCUUUUGGAGGUGUCACUGGUGAUUUUUGGCAUGGUUUGGUGGUUUCAUGCCUCCUCAGAUGAGCAGUAGCACAUCUCUGUGGUAGUUAGCGUGUUUCAGGCAAUUUCAGCCUGUUCGGGCUUCUGUUUGCUGAGCUAGAAGUUUGUUUGUGCUUCGUGGGGAUAAACACUUGGAAACCCCUGUUAUCGUGGCAAACUAUAGAUGCUGCAGCAGCUGGUUGAAUGGCAAAACUCUGUCAGCCCUAACGAUGUGAACCCCUGCAUGUUCUCCUCUACCUUGGCGUGUAUUCCCUAAGAAACGUUGAUUGUGUUAACUUGUCAAGAUUGCAGCCACUGCGGUGUGUGCUGGAGCACAAGGUGGAGAAGUAGCAUCAAUAGGAGCAGCCUCAAACGCUGCUGGUGCACACAACAGAGCCGGUUGGCUUUGUGGCUCUCGCAGUGCUUCUCCUUUUCUCUUCUACCUAUUGUUUCCAUGAUUAAUAUUAUGUAUUGUAGCAAGCUCCUUGUACUCCAGGUCAAAGGGAAUUCUUUCUAGAAGAGAAAAAGUACUGCCCCGGAGGGUGAACUUUUGCACUCAAUUGUGUAAAGCUUUGUUUACAGACUGCUGCAGAAAUCCCCUCAGCUGUGGUGUGGGUAAGGUAGCUGUAAUGCCAUCAGUGGGCUCUGCUGGUGACAAAAGCCUCCACAGGAAAGCUCUCAUGUCACUUGAGCCCCGCAUGGAAAUGCAACCCUAAUUUAUGCAGAUUUUUGAAAGCGCUUUUUUAAUAUUAAUGCUGAACAUGCAUGCUACUACUGAAAUGCCUUUGAAACUGAAAACCAGGAGUAUUCAUAGACUGAGACUUUAAAGCCAAAGGAAGCAAUUAGAUCUUCUACUCUGACCUCUUGACUGUUACAGUCAAUUGGAUUUUAUCCAGUUACUUCUGAGUGCAAUAACUUGCAUUUGGCUGAAACACAUUUUCCAGGAAAAAAUGGAAUUUUGAUCGGAAGACGGUAAGAGGUGGGGAACCCGCUGCUUGUUAAGUU